rnacentral:rRNA from 1 species
ACGGGCAUGCAUCAGUACGGCGAGUGAAGCGGCAAGAGCUCAAAUUUGAAAGCUGGCUCCUUCGGAGUCCGCAUUGUAAUUUGCAGAGGAUGCUUUGGGUGCGGCCCCCGUCUAAGUGCCCUGGAACGGGCCGUCAGAGAGGGUGAGAAUCCCGUCUUGGGCGGGGUGUCCGUGCCCGUGUAAAGCUCCUUCGACGAGUCGAGUUGUUUGGGAAUGCAGCUCUAAAUGGGUGGUAAAUUUCAUCUAAAGCUAAAUACUGGCCGGAGACCGAUAGCGCACAAGUAGAGUGAUCGAAAGAUGAAAAGCACUUUGAAAAGAGAGUUAAACAGCACGUGAAAUUGUUGAAAGGGAAGCGCUUGCGACCAGACUCGCCCGCGGGGUUCAGCCGGCAUUCGUGCCGGUGUACUUCCCCGUGGGCGGGCCAGCGUCGGUUUGGGCGGCCGGUCAAAGGCCCCUGGAAUGUAGUGCCCUCCGGGGCACCUUAUAGCCAGGGGUGCAAUGCGGCCAGCCUGGACCGAGGAACGCGCUCGGC